rnacentral:rRNA from 1 species
AACGAACGCUGGCGGCAGGCCUAACACAUGCAAGUCGAGCGCCCUUUCGGGGGAGCGGCGGACGGGUGAGUAACGCGUGGGAAUAUGCCCUUCUCUACGGAAUAGCCUCGGGAAACUGAGAGUAAUACCGUAUACGCCCUUUGGGGGAAAGAUUUAUCGGGGAAGGAUUAGCCCGCGUUGGAUUAGGUAGUUGGUGGGGUAAUGGCCUACCAAGCCGACGAUCCAUAGCUGGUUUGAGAGGAUGAUCAGCCACACUGGGACUGAGACACGGCCCAGACUCCUACGGGAGGCAGCAGUGGGGAAUCUUAGACAAUGGGGGCAAGCCUGAUCUAGCCAUGCCGCGUGAGUGAUGAAGGCCUUAGGGUUGUAAAGCUCUUUCAGCUGGGAAGAUAAUGACGGUACCAGCAGAAGAAGCCCCGGCUAACUCCGUG